CAGCCGCCACGGUAAUACGUAGGUGGCAAGCGUUGUCCGGAAUUAUUGGGCGUAAAGGGCUCGCAGGCGGUUUCUUAAGUCUGAUGUGAAAGCCCCCGGCUCAACCGGGGAGGGUCAUUGGAAACUGGGAAACUUGAGUGCAGAAGAGGAGAGUGGAAUUCCACGUGUAGCAGUGAAAUGCGUAGAGAUGUGGAGGAACACCAGUGGCGAAGGCGACUCUCUGGUCUGUAACUGACGCUGAGGAGCGAAAGCGUGGGGAGCGAACAGGAUUAGAUACCCCGGUAGUCCCUGUCUCUUAUAC
rnacentral:rRNA from 1 species